GCGCGAAAACUUUACAAUGCUGGCAACAGCGAUAAGGGAACCUCGAGUGCCAGGUUACAAAUCUGGCUGUCGAGAUGCCUAAAAAGCAUUUCAUAGCAAGGGCCGGGCAAGACCGGUGCCAGCCGCCGCGGUAACACCGGCGGCUCGAGUGGUAACCGUUAUUAUUGGGUCUAAAGGGUCUGUAGCCGGCCGGAUAAGUCUCUUGAGAAAUCUGGCAGCUUAACUGUCAGGCUUUCAGGAGAUACUGUCUGGCUCGAGGCCGGGAGAGGUGAGAGGUACGUUCGGGGGUAGGGUGAAAUCUUGUAAUCCUUGAAGGACCACCAGUGGCGAAGGCGUCUCACCAGACGGACCUGACGGCAAGGGACGAAAGCUAGGGGCACGAACCGGAUUAGAUACCCG
rnacentral:rRNA from 1 species